GCAGCGGAAACAAAUUGCGAACACGCCAUCGCCUUAGAAAUGAAUAUGGCGAACAUGUUUGCAAACAUUUGCCUGUUGUCACGUCAAGCAUCGUCAGAGCUGCAUUGUCAGUCAGUUGGAGUUUCUGGCUCUUGUAUGGGCAGCAGAGACCUGCAUUAACUCGAGGCUGCUCAUCCUUGAGCAAUGACUGUCAAGUGGGACCCUCUCGUUUCUAUGACCAAGAAUACAACAGAAGGGAACAAAGGACCAAAGUUCAACAGCUACAAAAAAAUCUAAGUAGAGACUUCGGGGGCCAGAGGCACAGUUUCGGUUGACACAGUGUCAUCGGAACAGAACGAGGACUCUGCCUGUCUCUAAUGUCUCCACAGCUGGAAUUAAGGCUCAUGGUGGCAGUGCCCAGAGUAAGGCAAGCCGACAGCUUAUUUUUUUCCCCCGUGAUUAGCCAAACUGUGCUGCUCAUAUACAAAUGGAAAUGGGAUGUGCAUGAGUGUCCCCCUCUCCUCACCCUCUCUCUCCCAUCUGUCAAGACAAUAGAUUUUAAUCUUU